rnacentral:rRNA from 1 species
UACGUAGGUGGCAAGCGUUAUCCGGAAUUAUUGGGCGUAAAGCGCGCGCAGGUGGUUUCUUAAGUCUGAUGUGAAAGCCCACGGCUCAACCGUGGAGGGUCAUUGGAAACUGGGAGACUUGAGUGCAGAAGAGGAAAAGUGGAAUUCCAUGUGUAGCGGUGAAAUGCGUAGAGAAUAUGGAGGAACACCAGUGGCGAAGGCGACUUUCUGGUCGUGUAACUUGACACUGAGAAGCGAAAAGCGUGGGGAGCGAAACAGG